rnacentral:rRNA from 1 species
AUUGAACGCUGGCGGCAUGCCUUACACAUGCAAGUCGAACGGUAACGGGCCUUCGGGUGCCGACGAGUGGCGAACGGGUGAGUAAUGUAUCGGAACGUACCUUUCAGUGGGGGAUAACGUAGCGAAAGUUACGCUAAUACCGCAUAUUCUGUGAGCAGGAAAGCAGGGGAUCGCAAGACCUUGCGCUGAUUGAGCGGCCGAUAUCAGAUUAGCUAGUUGGUGGGGUAAAAGCUCACCAAGGCGACGAUCUGUAGCUGGUCUGAGAGGACGACCAGCCACACUGGAACUGAGACACGGUCCAGACUCCUACGGGAGGCAGCAGUGGGGAAUUUUGGACAAUGGGCGCAAGCCUGAUCCAGCAAUGCCGCGUGCAGGAUGAAGGCCUUCGGGUUGUAAACUGCUUUUGUACGGAACGAAACGGUGAGCUCUAAUAAAGCUUGCUAAUGACGGUACCGUAAGAAUAAGCACCGGCUAACUACGUG